AUUUAAAUAGUAGGCAUAAAAUCGAGUGUGCCCGUACCGAUCUCUCGCUUCGGACUUGACGGCGCGGCGCGCGACUCGGUUUUCCCGGUUCGUCCGGGACAGUAAUAAAGACAAACGCACCGCGACAUAUUGUGUGUGUGCGCGCGUUUGUGUGUAUGUGUAAGUGUGUGUUUGUGUAUGUGUGAGUGUCCGAGUGUGCGAGUGUGCGAGUGUUGCGGACUCGCGUCGGUGUAUCGUAUCGUUACGAAACGCGGCUAAUUAUUGU